ACAGAGGUCCCGAGCGUUGUUCGGAUUCACUGGGCGUAAAGGGUGCGUAGGUGGCAUGGCAAGUUUGAUGUAAAAGCUCAGGGCUUAACCCUGAAAUGGCAUUGAAUACUGCUGUGCUGGAGGUUUGGAGGGGGGACUGGUAUUCUCGGUGUAGCAGUGAAAUGCGUAGAUAUCAAGAGGAACACCUGAGGUGAAGACGGGUUGCUGGGCUGACACUGACGCUGAGGCGCGAAAGCCAGGGGAGCAAACGGGA
rnacentral:rRNA from 1 species